rnacentral:rRNA from 1 species
CAACUACGGGGGGCAGCAGUAGGGAAUUUUCGUCAAUGGGCGCAAGCCUGAACGAGCAAUGCCGCGUGAACGAGGAAGGUCUUCGGAUCGUAAAGUUCUGUUGAAGGGGAAAAAGAGCGGAGAGAGGAAAUGAACUCCGAUUGAUAUUACCCUUCGAGGAAGUCACGGCUAACUACGUGCCAGCAGCCGCGGUAAUACGUAGGUGGCGAGCGUUAUCCGGAAUGAUUGGGCGUAAAGGGUGCGUAGGCGGCCCGCUAAGUCUGGAGUGAAAGGUACCGGCCCAACAGGUACAGGCGCUGGAACCU